AUGUUCGUUUGCUGUUUUGUAAAAGUUAGGAUAAAAGUCCUUAGUAAAGUCAAAAACAUUAUUUUAAAAUAAAUUACUGGAGCUGUACUUAAAAGCAUUGAAUUUUCAACCAAGCUGAAAUAUUUCCAUCAAUUAAAAGAAAAAAGGAAACCAGUAGGUAUGUGGCUAGGUGAGAUACAGAAUUUAUAAUAUCUUUCACCGAGAUAUACUUCAAUGCAGAUACAUCCUUCUCCGUCGUCGUAGAUGCGGUAAAUUUGGAAUGGUGGGGAAUCCGGAUCAGAAAGAACUUCAACCAGUCUCAUCAGAAGUGAACUUGGAUCAGACAUUUUUAUAUUUGUCACAUUACAUCAAAAAAAAAAAAAUUAAAUUCAUUUUUAUUCUGCGAA